rnacentral:lncRNA from 1 species
GGAGGUAGGCAUGUCAUGGUAUGUAGCUCAGCUUGUGGGAGUCAGUCCUCUCUUUCUGCCUUUAAGUCCUUGGUAUCAAACUCAGGCCUUUGUCAGCCUUGUCUGUGGACACCGGACACCCGUGAAUGCAUCUCAUUGGCUCUUUGAGACCCAUAGUUUGCCUUCUCCCAUCCAAGUCGGUCCAUUCCCCUGGGCUGUGAGAGCCGUUGCUCUUAAGUGGUUGAGUUGGAAGUGCAUAGCCUCCCACUCCCUAAGGAACAGUCUGUCCCAUUUAGGCUACAGUCCCGCUGGAUACAGGAGAGGGGCUGAGGGGAGGGAGGCCAACUGAAAAAAAAAAAAAAA